rnacentral:rRNA from 1 species
GUGUCAGCAGCCUCGGUAAUACGGGGGGGGGCAAGCGUUGUUCGGAAUUACUGGGCGUAAAGGGCGCGUAGGCGGCUCGCUAAGUCGGGUGUGAAAACUCUGGGCUCAACCCAGAGCCUGCAUUCGAAACUGACUGGCUAGAGUUCUGGAGGGGAAAGCGGAAUUCCUGGUGUAGCAGUGAAAUGCGUAGAUAUCAGGAGGAACACCGGUGGCGAAGGCGGCUUUCUGGACAGAAACUGACGCUGAUGCGCGAAAGCUAGGGGAGCAAACAGGAUUAGAAACCCUGGUAGUCC